AACAAUGCCGUUGUGAUCACUUUAACAUUAACUGCUCAACAGCAGCUUUUAUUAUGUGGAUAAAUAUCAAAUGAUAGAUUGUAAUGUACCCCUAAGUGUGUUAUGGAAGUGCAACAGACAGUGUUAUUCACAAAAGAGUGAAAUGUUUGUAAUUCACCAGAGAAUUGCAAAUUUAAGGCCAAUGUAGUUGUGACAGAAACAAAGCUGACUUGAUAUAUCUUUUCAAUUCAUCUGUUU